UGCUUAGGAAUCUACCAAGUAGUGGGGGAUAGCCAUUGGAAACGAUGAUUAAUACCGCAUAUAUCCUACGGGGGAAAGGCAGGGGAUCUUCGGACCUUGCGCUAUUUGAUGAGCCUGAGUGAGAUUAGCUAGUUGGUGGGGUAAAGGCCUACCAAGGCGACGAUCUCUAGCUGGUUUGAGAGGACGAUCAGCCACACUGGGACUGAGACACGGCCCAGACUCCUACGGGAGGCAGCAGUGAGGAAUAUUGGACAAUGGAGGCAACUCUGAUCCAGCCAUGCCGCGUGAAGGAUGACUGCC
rnacentral:rRNA from 1 species